UUACUGCUAAGUGGUUUACAGAGCCAAAACCAUUCUCAGCGAAGUGCCCAAGGAGCUGGGAGGGAACAGAAUUAGAACAGCUGACUUUCACUGGUUAGAGGGAUAUCUCAUACCAUAUGACAUCCAGCAGAAGGAGUUUUGAAGGAGGUAGGAGUUCAUCUCUCUCUUCUGCUGCUCGGGAGGCUAGCUGGGAAUCAAUCGGUGAGCUUUCACUUCCUUCCCGUGCAUGUCCAGCUGAGCUUUGAAAGUUGCUCAGUAGAUUCCACAGAAUCACAAAAUUGUAGGAGCUGGAAAGGACCUCCAGAGAUCAUCAAAAUAAGCUCAGUGUAGCAUGAUUCAUAGCGUACUGUUGAUACCCUGCACCUUCUGCUUAAAAUAAGGACUCCUUCCAAUUAUGAAAAAUAUCAUAUUAAUUGAGCUACAUUUUGCAUGAUUAUUCCCUGGGAAGAUGAGAACUUCUUGCUUCACUGUACCGUAAGAAUUCAUCUGGAACAGAUCCAAUUAGGAGUGACUUUAUGGUAUACAGAGACACUGGUCUGAUGAAUUUCUAAUGUCAAACAUAUAUGCUUUACAGCAGCAUUUAUUGGUAGCUAGCACUACUCACAUCUAGUUCCAAAAGUCUGUCUCAGGUACUGCAAUUGGUGGAUGGAAUAAGGACUUGUUAUGGGAGUCUUUUGGAGUGUAGCAAGCAAUACCUAUGUACAAAUAGUUACAAGAUUUGAAGCUCCAAAACAGCAAGCCAGCGAGGAUGAUUAUCUCAUUCAUUUCCUGUAGUUGCUGACAAGUUGGUCCAAUGGACACUCACAUAGGAACAGAAAGAAGACUAUAUGCAAGUUUCUCAGGACCUAUGGAACAAAUAAGAGGUUGCAGGUGGAAGUUUCCUGGAUUGCAUCAUUACCAGUGAUGACAUGUGGUGUCACCCCUAAGAGCUGGAGUCAAAACAGUAGUCCAUGAAGUGCCAGCACGUGAAUUCCCAUCAAGAAAAAAAGUACAAGAGUCAACCUCAGCAGGCUCCCUACAAGUAUUGGAAGGCCACAGUGAGGUUUCCCAGGAGACUUCUC
ensembl:lncRNA